UACGUAGGCAGCGAGCGUUGUUCGGAUUUACUGGGCGUACAGGGAGCGUAGGCGGUUGGGUAAGCCCUCCGUGAAAUCUCCAGGCUUAACCCGGAAAGUGCGGAGGGGACUGCUCGGCUAGAGGAUGGGAGAGGAGCGCGGAAUUCCCGGUGUAGCGGUGAAAUGCGUAGAGAUCGGGAGGAAGGCCGGUGGCGAAGGCGGCGCUCUGGAACAUUUCUGACGCUGAGGCUCGAAAGCGUGGGGAGCAAACAGG
rnacentral:rRNA from 1 species